rnacentral:rRNA from 1 species
UACGAAGGGGGCUAGCGUUGUUCGGAAUUACUGGGCGUAAAGGGCGCGUAGGCGGUACUUCAAGUCAGGCGUGAAAGCCCCGGGCUCAACCUGGGAACCGCGCUUGAGACUGGAGAACUAGAGUUCGGGAGAGGAUGGUGGAAUUCCCAGUGUAGAGGUGAAAUUCGUAGAUAUUGGGAAGAACACCGAUGGCGAAGGCAGCCAUCUGGACCGACACUGACGCUGGAGCGCGAAAGCGUGGGGAGCAAACAGG